rnacentral:lncRNA from 1 species
AGCUGCAGCCAAUCAGAGGCAAUCAAGCACACAAGAGGCCUGAUGGGCCACACAGGCGCACCCACAGGCACCAGAGCUGCCCCUCAGCCAGGCUCCGGAAGCCUCCUCCUCCCUCUUGUGUCUGAGCACUGGGGAGGGGGCUAGGAACCGAGUCCAGGAGGCCUCAGGAAAAGAAGGGGAAGGGACCGAGCCGGACUCCACAGCAUUUGCUUGGCACCCGCUGUGUACGCAGAGUGCCGGAGAAGUUGGGCGUUGAUGGGGGAGACUCGGGCAGAGGACGCGCACCCUCCCUGGCCCACUCACAGGCCCCUGGAGGGGCCCCCACAACAGCCCCCCAGCCACCCCCAACCUGGCCUCCAGCAUCUCUCUCUGCCGAGUCCUUGCCUCUCCCCCGAGGAGAGCGGAGCCUCCAAUCAGGGCCUGGGAAAGCAAUUUUUCAAUCUCCAACUGCAAACACUAAUACCGCUGAAGCUAAUUUUACAGAUUUCCACUUCGAGGCCUUGCCUUUGUCCCAGAAUCCCUCAGCCCGGGAGAUUAGCAGUUUAGAGACUGGAAAAAAUAAGGGAGACGUCAAAGCCGCCAGGACCAGUCAAAGUAAUAUGCCUGCGACCGGCACAUGGACUUUUAUUUCUUCUCCCUCCACGCUCCAGAGCUGCUCCUGCGGCGUGGAGAGAUAAAUAUUUUAAAUAGCGACACUUUGGCGAUGCACGGUUAUGCAAGACAAGGAAUAAUUAGAAAAUAAAUUACUUUUUUUAAA